UGGUGUUUAUAGCGCAGUGGAACCACUCCGAACCAUACCGAACUCGGUUGUUAAACGCUGCUGCGACGAUAAUACUGAAAGAGGAGUCUUUUGGGAAAGUAGUUCAAUGCCAAAGCC
rnacentral:rRNA from 1 species